GAUGAACGCUGGCGGCGUGCUUAACACAUGCAAGUCGAACGGGAAACCCUUUCUUGAAGCCUCGGCAGAUUUUACUGGGUUCUAGUGUCGGACGGGUGAGUAACUCGUGGGUAACCUGCCCUAUUCAUGGGGAUUACAACCCGUAAUGGUUGCUAAUACCGCCUCAGCGCACACCGGCGCAUGGUCCGGUUUGAAAAACUCCGGUGGUAUAGGAUGGACCCGCGUUGGAUUAGCCAGUUGGAAGGGUAACGGCCUACCAAAGCGACGAUCCAUAGCCGGCCUGAGAGGGUGAACGGCCACAGUGGGAAUGAGACACGGCCCAGACUCCUACGGGAGGCAGCAGUGGGGAAUAUUGCACAAUGGGGGAAACCCUGAUGCAGCGACGCCGCGUGAAGGAAGAAGUAUCUCGGUAUGUAAACUUCUAUCAGCAGGGAAGAUAGUGACGGUACCUGACGAAGAAGCCCCGGCUAACUACGUG
rnacentral:rRNA from 1 species